GUUCAAUCCAGAUUAUAUAGAAAUUGAUCGUAUCUUGGAGGUGGCCCACACCAAGGAUGCAGAAACAGGGGAGGAAGUGACCCAUUACCUGGUAAAAUGGUGCUCUCUGCCGUAUGAAGAAAGCACAUGGGAGCUAGAGGAAGAUGUGGAUCCUGCAAAAGUGAAAGAAUUUGAAUCUCUACAAAUUCUCCCUGAAGUUAAGCCUGUGGUAAUAUAUCAGCAUGUCUGUCUGACACCUCUUACAACAUAUAAAACUUUGAAAUUAGUAA
rnacentral:lncRNA from 1 species